GACAGGAGGAGCGAGCGUUAUUCAGCAUGAUUGGGCGUAAAGGGUACGUAGGUGGUCAAUCAAAGUGAUGGUGAAAUUCAAGGAUACAAAUCUCGUUGGAGGGCUUUCACAAUUAAUUGACUAGGGUAGUGGAGAUGUUUGCAAGAACUGCCCGAGGAGUGCUAAAAUACGGAGAUACGGGUAGGAAUACUGAAUGCGAAAGCAACAAACGAUUUACUAACUGACGCUGAGGUACGAAAGCGUGGGGAGCAAACGGG
rnacentral:rRNA from 1 species